AAUAACAAACCGCGCAUGCGCAAGGUCUCUUUCUUUGCAGCAUGGAUCCUCGAAUGGAGAAUUUCAAGGGCCGCAGAGUCGCUAAAGCAGAUUGCUUAAAAAUGUUAAAUUACGUCUUUUCAGCAGGAAACCUAUAUGAUGACCAAGACCAUGGCUGAUAUGGAGACUACAAGAAAUGAAAAAUUCUGGAAAGAAAAAAAACCUGAGCCUAGAUGUCUGGAACAAGAUGGAGAACAGUGAGUGCUGAAUAGAAGUUUCUGCAGUUUGUAUUGCAUCAAGAAAUGGGUGUGGAUAUUAAACUGAAUGUCUCAGGACGUGAAACUGAUUCUGACUUUGGAGGUGCAAGUCAUAAAUUGCUUGUAUUUUAUAAAUAUGGUAGCAGCUCCUGGUGCAUAGUUGUAUACAAACUGCAGGAUCUGCUGACGGAAUUCUUCCAAGGUCUGGUCUCGACAGUGCAGGGACUCCAGGUCAUGCAGAUCACAAAGAAACACCGCAUCGGGUGGAAGAACAAGCGCUGAGGCCCCUAUAUUCCCAACAUGUAUUAAGAGUUUGAUUGUGACCCAUAAAAAUAGUGACCUAAAAGUUAUAAAUGAUGAAUUUUGAAGUUUGUUGCAGCAGUGUAGUUUUUAUGCUAGUGGUAUAUCCUUCACUGUACAUAAAGCUAUAAAAUUCAAGUUACUAAAUUAUAACAAGGCCAGUUUAUAACCAACUUGAAAGAUCUUCGAGCUUGUUUGAUGUUGCCCUGUUAAUCUAUUCAAUUUGCUGGAGAAAAUGGCUAAUCUUAAUUAAAAGAUAAUUUCUCACCA